rnacentral:rRNA from 1 species
ACCUAGCGGCGGACGGGUGAGUAAUGCUUAGGAAUCUGCCUAUUAGUGGGGGACAACAUCUCGAAAGGGAUGCUAAUACCGCAUACGUCCUACGGGAGAAAGCAGGGGACCUUCGGGCCUUGCGCUAAUAGAUGAGCCUAAGUCGGAUUAGCUAGUUGGUGGGGUAAAGGCCUACCAAGGCGACGAUCUGUAGCGGGUCUGAGAGGAUGAUCCGCCACACUGGGACUGAGACACGGCCCAGACUCCUACGGGAGGCAGCAGUGGGGAAUAUUGGACAAUGGGGGGAACCCUGAUCCAGCCAUGCCGCGUGUGUGAAGAAGGCCUUUUGGUUGUAAAGCACUUUAAGCGAGGAGGAGGCUACCGAGAUUAAUACUCUUGGAUAGUGGACGUUACUCGCAGAAUAAGCACCGGCUAACUCUGUGCCAGCAGCCGCGGUAAUACAGAGGGUGCAAGCGUUAAUCGGAUUUACUGGGCGUAAAGCGCGCGUAGGUGGCCAAUUAAGUCAAAUGUGAAAUCCCCGAGCUUAACUUGGGAAUUGCAUUCGAUACUGGUUGGCUAGAGUAUGGGAGAGGAUGGUAGAAUUCCAGGUGUAGCGGUGAAAUGCGUAGAGAUCUGGAGGAAUACCGAUGGCGAAGGCAGCCAUCUGGCCUAAUACUGACACUGAGGUGCGAAAGCAUGGGGAGCAAACAGGAUUAGAUACCCUGGUAGUCCAUGCCGUAAACGAUGUCUACUAGCCGUUGGGGCCUUUGAGGCUUUAGUGGCGCAGCUAACGCGAUAAGUAGACCGCCUGGGGAGUACGGU